rnacentral:rRNA from 1 species
CCUACGGGAGGCAGCAGUCAGGAAUAUUGCGCAAUGGAGGAAACUCUGACGCAGCGACGCCGCGUGUGGGAUGACGGCCUUCGGGUUGUAAACCACUGUCGGGAGGGAAAGGAAGGGUGGUCGGCGCUAAUACCGCCGGCAUCUGACGGUACCUGCAGAGGAAGCCCCGGCCAACUCUGUGCCAGCAGCCGCGGU